UAUGCCUCCAGAAUAGCUAAACGGUGAAUCAAAAACCAUCGUUUGGUUCAGACAGAGGCGCAUAUAAAAUGU